CCUACGGGGGGCUGCAGUGAGGAAUAUUGGUCAAUGGGCGCGAGCCUGAACCAGCCAAGUCGCGUGAGGGAUGACGGUCCUACGGAUUGUAAACUUCUUUUGUCGGGGAGCAAAAGACGCCACGCGUGGCGUUCCGAGUGUACCCGAUGAAUAAGCAUCGGCUAACUCCGUGCCAGCAGCCGCGGUAAUACGGAGGAUGCGAGCGUUAUCCGGAUUUAUUGGGUUUAAAGGGUGCGUAGGCGGAAGAUCAAGUCAGCGGUAAAAUGUAGGGGCUCAACCCCGUCGAGCCGUUGAAACUGGUUGUCUUGAGUGAGGGAGAAGUAUGCGGAAUGCGUGGUGUAGCGGUGAAA
rnacentral:rRNA from 1 species